AUUGAACGCUGGCGGCAGGCCUAACACAUGCAAGUCGAGCGGAGCGGCGGACGGGUGAGUAAUGCCUAGGAAUCUGCCUGGUAGUGGGGGAUAACGUCCGGAAACGGGCGCUAAUACCGCAUACUAUCAGAUGAGCCUAGGUCGGAUUAGCUAGUUGGUGGGGUAAAGGCCUACCAAGGCGACGAUCCGUAACUGGUCUGAGAGGAUGAUCAGUCACACGGGAACGGAGACACGGCCAGGCCUCCUCCGGGAGGCGCCAGUUGGGAAUAGUGGACAAUGGGCGAAAGUCUGAUACAGCCAUGCGGCGUGUGUGAAGAAGGUCUUCGGAUGGUAAUGCACUUUAAGUUGGGGGACGUUACCAACAGAAGAAGCACCGGCUAACUUCGUGCCAGCAGCCGCGGUAAUAC
rnacentral:rRNA from 1 species